rnacentral:rRNA from 1 species
CCUACGGGUGACUGCAGUGGGGAAUAUUGGGCAAUGGACGCAAGUCUGACCCAGCAACGCCGCGUGAAGGAAGAAGGCUUUCGGGUUGUAAACUUCUUUUAAGGGGGAAGAGCAGAAGACGGUACCCCUUGAAUAAGCCACGGCUAACUACGUGCCAGCAGCCGCGGUAAUACGUAGGUGGCAAGCGUUGUCCGGAUUUACUGGGUGUAAAGGGCGUGCAGCCGGAGAGGCAAGUCAGAUGUGAAAUCCGCGGGCUCAACUCGCGGCCUGCAUUUGGAACUGCGUGCCUUGAGUAUGGGAGAGGUAAGCGGAAUGCGUGGUGUAGCGGUGAAAUGCGUAGAUAUCACGAAGAACACCGGUGGCGAAGGCAGAUUACUGGACUGCAACUGACGGUGAGGCGCGAAAGCGUGGGUAGCAAACAGGAUUAGAUACCCUUGUAGUC